AUGGGUGAGCGGAAGGUGCUGAACAAGUACUACCCGCCGGACUUCGACCCGGCGAAGAUCCCGCGGCGGAAGCAGCCUAAGAACCAGCAGAUCAAGGUGCGCAUGAUGCUUCCCAUGAGCAUCCGGUGUGGCACCUGCGGCACCUACAUCUACAAGGGCACCAAAUUCAACUCGCGCAAGGAGGACUGCAUCGGCGAGACUUACUUGGGCAUACAAAUAUUUAGAUUUUACUUCAAGUGUACUAGGUGCUCAGCUGAGAUUACCUUCAAAACAGACCCUCAGAAUUCAGACUACACGGUAGAAUCUGGGGCUAGUCGUAAUUUUGAACCUUGGCGUGAAGAGGAUGAGGUUGUGGAUAAAGAGAAGAGGAAGCGAGAAGCGGAGGAGAUGGGUGAUGCAAUGAGAGCACUGGAGAACAGAGCAAUGGAUUCAAAGCAAGACAUGGACAUACUUGCUGCUUUAGAAGAGAUGCGGUCGAUGAAGUCUAGACAUGCUGGAGUCUCCGUUGACCAGAUGCUUGAAAUUUUGAAGCAUUCCGCUCAUCAAAAGGAGGGAAAAACAGUAGCAGAAUUAGAUGAAGAAGACGAAGAACUCAUCAAAUCAAUCACUUUCAGAAACUCGAAAGAUUAUGUUAAACGGAUCGAAGACGAUGAUGACGACGAUGAUGACAAUUUUGGUAUACCAGGACAGUCAAGUGUCACGUCAAAGAUUAAUGAAUCUUCUGAAUCAAUGACGAACCCAACAGAUGUCUUGACCAAAGCUAAUGGACCUGAGAGUGCCAACAAAGAAGGAAACAAGAGCUUGGCAUCUAAGAUGCCCAAAUUCAUAGUAAAACCAAAGCCCGCUGGUGCAAAUCCUCAGAAGAAACAGAAGACGGAAACUGAUGCCGUCCAAGAUAACGGCAAAGCACCGGCUGCUGAGAACAAAAAUGAAGCUUCAGUAGAGAAGACCAAUGUUCUUCAGUCCCUCUGCCAGUAUGAUGAUAGCGAUGAAAGUGAUGACUGA
rnacentral:rRNA from 1 species